CUCCCGCUAGCUCAACGGACAGAGCACCGUCCUCCUAAGACGGCUGUCCGGGUUCGAGUCCCGGGCGGGAGAC
rnacentral:tRNA from 1 species